rnacentral:lncRNA from 1 species
AUGGGGGCAAUCUCAAGAGGGUCGCCUUUGGAUAAGACAAGGAAUGGGCUCUCAGGGGAGAAGGUGGGCCACUCCAGGGACAGAGGGCAGCCUGUGGUGUGGGUGUUCAUAUUUGCAGAGGCCAGUGCCAGGGGCUGGACCCAGGUGGAGGCCCUGGUUCUCCAUGGGAGGACUUUGACUGGAAGUAGGUUUUCCAUGAUCCAGAUAAUGAUCUCUAAAUCAGUUGUUAUGAAGGCCUGUUUGGGCUGGGGUGUGGCUAGAGCAUUUGCCUAGUGUGUGCAGGGCCCUGGGUUUGAUCCUCAGCACCACAUAAAAACAACUAAAAAAUAAUAUAUUUUUUAAAAAGGUCUCUGCUAGGGGUCUGAAAGAGGCAUUUUCAUGAGGUUUAUGAAAUUCAAACUAUUUCCUGGGUUGCAGUAGAGAUUUCCUGGGGCUCUGUGAUGUGUGAUGACAAGAUCUCUUGGGGCUGAUAAGCUGUGUGCUUGUGUAAUCUGUUUAAGUUUUCCUCAGUUUUAAUUAUAACUCCUAUCAACACUAGGUGCUUGGGAGCUGUGUUAGUCAAGGAUCUUCUGGGAGAUGGAAA